UCUAGAGCAAGAAGAAGAAAAGAAACUCUAGGAAACUAGAGAAACUAGUGGCGGCCAAGAGGAAAAAAAUUGAGUUUUCCGAUUUCGUUCCGUGAAUUAAUUAUCUAGGGUGUACCAUGAUGUUAUGAAGGUAUUGUUAAUGAAAUUUUAUGGUUUGGAUCAGCCCAAAACGUCACCGAACAGCCCCAAAGUUUUAGCCGCGCUAGGAGAGCUUCCGAGGCAAGUUUUGGAGAGUUUCGGUAAAGACUAACAAGUUGGAAGAAUAAGAAAAGCUAGUAAGGCGCUGUACAGGAUGCCCGGACGCGGGAGAUAUGUGGGCACGCCGACGUUGUUCGGUGAUAUGACUUCUAUUUUCUAUGCAUAUGAAAAAGAUAUGUUUUAUAUGAUAAGACAAGCAUGCAUGGCAUCUGGCCUAAAAGGGCACUCAUUUGUACAGGUACACCUAGACAAGUAGAAGCUAUUAUAGAAGAUGUUCCAGCGGGGUUAGCAACUCCACUUGUUCCUGGGGUGCUGCCGAGUCAGAUUAUAAACGCUAUGAUGUUUCAUUCGAAGUUAGAGACUUUGCAGAUAGAGUUGUGGGUAUAGAGUGUCAUCUUUGUAAGCGGCGUCACCAGCCGAUAUGUUAUUAUGUCGUAUGUUAUGAGUUUUAUGGGAUGAUAGAUUUUGGA